GUAUGGGUUUGGAUUUCUGGCAAGCCCAUCCCCCUUGGCCUCUGAUCGUGUCCAUGCCAGAGCAACUGUGGUUCUAAAUCACUCUGGCUUCUGUGCCCACAGGCCACGCUGGCACUGAAGUAAGGGCUGGGGAUG
rnacentral:snoRNA from 1 species